rnacentral:rRNA from 1 species
CGGUAAUUCCAGCUCCAAUAUCGUAUAUUUAAGUUGUUGCAGUUAAAAAGCUCGUAGUUGGACUUUGGGACGGGUCGGUCGGUCCGCCUCGCGGUGUGCACCGGUCGUCCCAUCCCUUCUGUAGGCGAUGCGUGCCUGGCAUUAACUGGCCGGGUCGUGCCUCCGGCGCUGUUACUUUGAAGAAAUUAGAGUGCUCAAAGCAAGCCCACGCUCUGGAUACAUUAGCAUGGGAUAACAUCACAGGAUUUCGGUCCUAUUGUGUUGGCCUUCGGGAUCGGAGUAAUGAUUAAGAGGGACAGUCGGGGGCAUUCGUAUUUCAUAGUCAGAGGUGAAAUUCUUGGAUUUAUGAAAGACGAACCACUGCGAAAGCAUUUGCCAAGGAUGUUUUCAUUAAUCAAGAACGAAAGUUGGGGGCUCGAAGACGAUCAGAUACCGUCCUAGUCUCAACCAUAAACGAUGCCGACCAGGGAUCGGCGGAUGUUGCUCUUAGGACUCCGCCGGCACCUUAUGAGAAAUCAAAGUCUUUGGGUUCCGGGGGGAGUAUGGCCGCAAGGCUGAAACUUAAAGGAUUUGACGGAAG